rnacentral:rRNA from 1 species
UACGUAGGUCCCGAGCGUUAUCCGGAAUUACUGGGCGUAAAGGGUGCGUAGGUGGUUUCUUAAGUCAGAGGUGAAAGGCUACGGCUCAACCGUAGUAAGCCUUUGAAACUGGGGAACUUGAGUGCAGGAGAGGAGAGUGGAAUUCCUAGUGUAGCGGUGAAAUGCGUAGAUAUUAGGAGGAACACCAGUUGCGAAGGCGGCUCUCUGGACUGUAACUGACACUGAGGCACGAAAGCGUGGGGAGCAAACAGG